rnacentral:rRNA from 1 species
UACGGAGGGGGCUAGCGUUGUUCGGAAUUACUGGGCGUAAAGCGCACGUAGGCGGCUUUGCAAGUUAGAGGUGAAAGCCCGGGGCUCAACUCCGGAAUUGCCUUUAAAACUGCAUCGCUAGAAUUGUGGAGAGGUAAGUGGAAUUCCGAGUGUGGAGGUGAAAUUCGUAGAUAUUCGGAAGAACACCAGUGGCGAAGGCGGCUUACUGGUCCGGUACUGACGCUGAGGUGCGAAAGCGUGGGGAGCAAACAGG